rnacentral:rRNA from 1 species
AAACUUAAAUGAAUUGACGGGACCCGCACAAGCGGUGGAUGAUGUGGUUUAAUUCGAUGCAACGCGAAAACCUUACCCACCUUUGACAUGGCAGGAAUCCCGAAGAGAUUUGGGAGUGCUCGAAAGAGAACCUGCACACAGGUGCUGCAUGGCUGUCGUCAGCUCGUGUCGUGAGAUGUUGGGUUAAGUCCCGCAACGAGCGCAACCCUUGCCAUUAGUUGCUACGAAAGGGCACUCUAAUGGGACUGCCGGUGACAAACCGGAGGAAGGUGGGGAUGACGUCAAGUCCUCAUGGCCCUUAUAGGUGGGGCUACACACGUCAUACAAUGGCCGGUACAGAGGGUAGCCAACCCGCGAGGGGGAGCCAAUCCCACAAAGCCGGUCGUAGUCCGGAUCGCAGUCUGCAACUCGACUGCGUGAAGUCGGAAUCGCUAGUAAUCGCGGAUCAGCAUGUCGCGGUGAAUACGUUCCCGGGUCUU